CCUACGGGAGGCAGCAGUGGGGAAUAUUGCACAAUGGGGGAAACCCUGAUGCAGCGACGCCGCGUGAGCGAAGAAGUAUUUCGGUAUGUAAAGCUCUAUCAGCAGGGAAGAAAAUGACGGUACCUGAGUAAGCAGCUCCGUCGAAGUACUUGCCAGCCGCCGCGGUACUACGGCUGCAGCAAGCGUUAGCCGGCUUUACGUGGCGUAAAGGGAGCGUAUGCGGGCUGCCAAGUCUGAUGUUAAGUACCGGGGUUCAACCCCGGGGCUGCAUUGGAAACUGGCAGGCUGGAGUGCCGGAGAGGCAGGCGGAAUUGCUAGGGUAGCGGUGAAAUGCGUAGAUAUUAGGAGGAACACCUGUGGCGAUGGCGGCCUGCUGGACGGUGACUGACGCUGAGGCUCGAAAGCGUGGGGAGCAAACAGGAUUAGAUACCCCUGUAGUC
rnacentral:rRNA from 1 species